AUUUGGUCCACAUGGUACAUUCCAGCGAAGUUUCAGGUCUAACAGAUAAUAAUUGACUACGUCAGACUGUGUGUCAUAAGAAUUAGUAUGGUUUGGUACUAGAUAUUGCAAUCGUGAGAUUUUCAGAUAAUCAAAACUAAACGAACCUGCAAGACGAAGAGACCUGUGUGGAAGAUGCAGGGGUUAAUGAAGACAGCACAAAAUUGGCCACAUUGAAACAAUUCAUCGGCAUUUUGGAGGAAAAGAUUGUCAGCAUCGAGCAUGACGACUCUUUCAUAGUCCACCAGAUUCCAAGCGUAGAGCUUGUUCAUGGUUAACUUGAAUCUGUCGUUAGGGUUGUUAGCCCUAUAAGGGUUAUAUACGUUCUCCACCCUCACUACCUUUAAUCCAUCUUCUUCUUCCCUGCCAACAAUAUAACAAUUGUAGACAAGUUGUCUAUCAGCCUUUUAUCCAACAUUAUUGAGUGCUUGUUUGAUUGACAUGUAAAAACAUCCAGAGUGGAAUACUAGAAUAUCUAGCUAAUAAGUAGAAACAAGUAACUUGUUUGGUUGAUAUAAACCUUGAAAGUGCCACUUUUCUUUAUUUCAUGGAUGAAAUACAAUUUUAUUAGCAUUGGAA